rfam:Triticum aestivum genome assembly, contig: Triticum_aestivum_CS42_TGACv1_scaffold_095157_2AL
GAUUUACUCCCUCCGUUCCAAAAUAGAUGACCCAACUUUGCACUAACUUUGUACAAAGUUAGUGCAAAGNGUUCCAAAAUAGAUGACCCAACUUUGCACUAACUUUGUACAAAGUUAGUGCAAAGUUGGGUCAUCUAUUUUGGAACGGAGGGAGUACAAU